rnacentral:rRNA from 1 species
UAGGGAAUCUUCCGCAAUGGGCGAAAGCCUGACGGAGCAACGCCGCGUGAGUGAUGAAGGUCUUCGGAUCGUAAAACUCUGUUAUUAGGGAAGAACACAUGUGUAAGUAACUAUGCACGUCUUGACGGUACCUAAUCAGAAAGCCACGGCUAACUACGUGCCAGCAGCCGCGGUAAUACGUAGGUGGCAAGCGUUAUCCGGAAUUAUUGGGCGUAAAGCGCGCGUAGGCGGUUUUUUAAGUCUGAUGUGAAAGCCAACGGCUCAACCGUGGAGGGUCAUUGGAAACUGGAAAACUUGAGUGCAGAAGAGGAAAGGGGAAUUCCAUGGGUAGCGGUGAAAUGCGCAGAGAUAUGGAGGAACACCAGUGGCGAAGGCGACUUUCUGGUCUGUAACUGACGCUGAUGUGCGAAAGCGUGGGGAUCAAACAGG